AAAUUGAAGAGUUUGAUCAUGGCUCAGAUUGAACGCUGGCGGCAGGCCUAACACAUGCAAGUCGAACGGUAACAGGAAGCAGCUUGCUGCUUCGCUGACGAGUGGCGGACGGGUGAGUAAUGUCUGGGAAACUGCCUGAUGGAGGGGGAUAACUACUGGAAACGGUGGCUAAUACCGCAUAACGUCGCAAGACCAAAGAGGGGGACCUUCGGGCCUCUUGCCAUCAGAUGUGCCCAGAUGGGAUUAGCUGGUUGGUGAGGUAACGGCUCACCAAGGCG
rnacentral:rRNA from 1 species